rnacentral:rRNA from 1 species
GUGGGGAAUCUUCCGCAAUGGGCGAAAGCCUGACGGAGCAACGCCGCGUGAGUGAAGAAGGCCUUCGGGCCGUAAAGCUCUGUUGCCGGGGAAGAGUGCCAUAAGGGGACUUAUGGAGGGACGGUACCCGGCGAGGAAGCCGCGGCUAACUACGUGCCAGCAGCCGCGGUAAUACGUAGGCGGCAAGCGUUGUCCGGAAUCAUUGGGCGUAAAGGGGGCGCAGGCGGGGAUGCAAGUCUUUCCUGAAAGCGUGGGGCUCAGCCCCAUGAUGGGAAAGAAACUGUAUCUCUUGAGCGCGGGAGAGGGAAGCGGAAUUCCUGGUGUAGCGGUGAAAUGCGUAGAUAUCAGGAAGAACACCAGUGGCGAAGGCGGCUUCCUGGACCGCGGCUGACGCUGAGGCCCGAAAGCCAGGGGAGCGAACGGG